rnacentral:pre_miRNA from 10 species
GGUCUAGUGCUGUGUGGAAGACUAGUGAUUUUGUUGUUCUGAUGUACUACGACAACAAGUCACAGCCGGCCUCAUAGCGCAGACUC